UUCCAGACUCCUACGGGAGGCAGCAGUGGGGGAUAUUGCACAAUGGGGGAAACCCUGAUGCAGCGACGCCGCGUGGGUGAAGAAGCGCCUCGGCGCGUAAAGCCCUGUCAGCAGGGAAGAAAAUGACGGUACCUGAAGAAGAAGCCCCGGCUAACUACGUGCCAGCAGCCGCGGUAAUACGUAGGGGGCAAGCGUUAUCCGGAUUUACUGGGUGUAAAGGGAGCGUAGGCGGCGAUGCAAGUCAGAAGUGAAAGCCCGGGGCUCAACUCCGGGACUGCUUUUGAAACUGUAUGGCUAGAUUGCAGGAGAGGCAAGUGGAAUUCCUAGUGUAGCGGUGAAAUGCGUAGAUAUUAGGAGGAACACCAGUGGCGAAGGCGGCCUGCUGGACGAUGACUGACGUUGAGGCUCGAAAGCGUGGGGAGCAAACAGGAUUAGAUACCCUCGUAAG
rnacentral:rRNA from 1 species